UGGACACCGCCCGCGCUUCGGCGCGGCGACCAUGGGCAAUCCGCAGCGAAGCCCCUAAGUCCCCCUCGGGGGAUAUGGGGAACGUCCACAGACUAAGUGGAAGUGGGUGGGACGCCAGCCGUCCCGCUUAAGAUAUAGUCGGGCCCCCCGGGAGACCGGAGGGGGUGAGUACACUGCUCCUUAACCGUUCCGUAGGUGAACCUGCGGAAGGAUCAUUACCGAGUGAGGGCCCUCUGGGUCCAACCUCCCACCCGUGUUUAUUCUACCUUGUUGCUUCGGCGGGCCCGCCUCACGGCCGCCGGGGGGCAUCCGCCCCCGGGCCCGCGCCCGCCGAAGACACCAUUGAACUCUGUCUGAAGAUUGCAGUCUGAGCAGAUUAGCUAAAUCAGUUAAAACUUUCAACAACGGAUCUCUUGGUUCCGGCAUCGAUGAAGAACGCAGCGAAAUGCGAUAAGUAAUGUGAAUUGCAGAAUUCAGUGAAUCAUCGAGUCUUUGAACGCACAUUGCGCCCCCUGGUAUUCCGGGGGGCAUGCCUGUCCGAGCGUCAUUGCUGCCCUCAAGCACGGCUUGUGUGUUGGGCUUCGCCCCCCGGCUCCCGGGGGGCGGGCCCGAAAGGCAGCGGCGGCACCGCGUCCGGUCCUCGAGCGUAUGGGGCUUCGUCACCCGCUCUGUAGGCCCGGCCGGCGCCCGCCGGCGACCCCAAUCAAUCUUUUCAGGUUGACCUCGGAUCAGGUAGGGAUACCCGCUGAACUUAAGCAUAUCAAUAAGCGGAGGA
rnacentral:rRNA from 1 species